GGGAAUUUGGGGAGUUUCCUAUGGACAGUCUCAGAAGGUGGUGAGUUCCCCAUAGCCUGGGCUCAAGCAGAGAACUAAUGAGACCUGUCAGGAUCCUCGAGAAGAUUCCUGUUGCCAGGUGCAUAAUUGGCCAAGUGCUCCAGGGGUUAUAAAGACUGCCUUCCUGUAGCUGGAAUAGACAGAUUUAGCCUCUUACUGAAACUGAAGGCUGCAAUGGCGAUAACAAAUCUGAUUCUAACUCUCCCAUGUCACUGCUGCCCAAAGGUGCCUUUGUCUCCCAGGAGAAAGAGGUUGGAGACUGUAUGUUCCAUGAAAGAAGGGGCCACCAAGUAUAUACACAGUUCCUGGUAUAAUCUUGGCUCAUAAUAGGCUCUCGAUAAAUGUUUGCUGGAAAGCGUGGUGACAGAAGAUCCUCACUGGUAU
ensembl:lncRNA